AGGAUUAACGCUGGCGGCGUGCCUAACACAUGCAAGUCGAACGAGGUAGCAAUACCUAGUGGCAGACGGGUGAGUAGCGCGUGGUCAACCUACCGUUGAGUGGGGGAUAACUAGCCGAAAGGUUAGCUAAUACCGCAUACGUCUCCGAGGGGCAUCCCUUGGUGAUAAAAGGAGCAAUCCGCUCGAUGACGGGACCGCGUCCCAUUAGCUAGUUGGUGGGGUAACGGCCUACCAAGGCAUCGAUGGGUAGCUGGUUUGAGAGAGCGACCAGCCACACUGGGACUGAGAUACGGCCCAGACUCCUACGGGAGGCAGCAGUGAGGAAUUUUCCGCAAUGGGCGAAAGCCUGACGGAGCGACGCCGCGUGUGGGAAGAAGGCCUUCGGGUCGUAACCACUGUCGAAGGGGAAGAUAAUGACGGUACCUUGGAGGAAGCCCCGGCUAACUACGCGCCAGCAGCCGC
rnacentral:rRNA from 1 species